UACGAAGGGGGCAAGCGUUGUUCGGAAUUACUGGGCGUAAAGGGCGCGUAGGCGGCUUAUCAAGUCAGGCGUGAAAUUCCCGGGCUCAACCUGGGGGCUGCGCUUGAUACUGAUUGGCUUGAAUGCGGGAGAGGAUAGUGGAAUUCCCAGUGUAGAGGUGGAAUUCGUAGAUAUUGGGAAGAACACCGGUGGCGAAGGCGGCUAUCUGGCCCGUAAUUGACGCUGAGGCGCGAAAGCGUGGGGAGCAAACAGG
rnacentral:rRNA from 1 species